AGUACUGACAUAAAUAGUACGUCACCAUCAUCACCAUGCUACUCCAUACACAGAUUAUCACACAUAUCACAAUAUUUUUUUUUAAAUUCACAACAGAAUCUGAUCUAUGACACACCGGCAGCUGGAAAUUAUCGAGAGAGUUUUACAAGCAGUGUGUUUCUGAAAGUAGCCAAUGAAACGUUGGACUGCUCCACAACAAUAACCUACUACCCAGACCCUGAGUUCACCAGCUUCACAUCUACAAGGACAGGAGACGAUGUGCGCAUCACCAUAGAGAAAAAGGCAGACAAACUGGAGAUGACAUUGGGAGAGUUGUCAGUGUGGGGCGUUCAGGAAGGUGAACAAUUCCCCUGCAUCAUGGAAGCCAAAAAAACCAGUAACGAGACUGACCUCUUUAUCUGUGAGAUUCAAGGGACACCUGACGUUGAGUUUCAGCACUUAACAGUAAAUCUUUUAUUUCAUCUUCACCAAUCUAGACAAUACAAUACACAAAUACAACUUAGUUUAUUGAGAUUGUAGGCAGGAUGAAGGUGGGUCAUAGCACCAAGCCCUCAGAAUAUUUUUGACCCAGUGUUCUGGUGAGAUGUCCCACUGUAAAAUUCCUGUUUUAAUAGCAGUGUUGUAUUUGUUUUCCAGAUAAAAUAUGGUGACAAGACGGUGAGACUAGGGCCUCCAUCUUUAUUACAUCAGAUCCUUCUGAUACUGCGCAUUCUGCUGAUACCCUGUAUUCCUGUUGGUAAGUACACUAGGUUGACUGGAUUUCAGUCCAGUCAGUGUCGUCGCUCUCUGAUAUGUACAGUGAAAUCUGUAUGUAUUGCAUCAAUGCAAUCAAAGGCUGUUUGUGUGAAAACCUGAACUAGAAUGAAUUUUGACCUUUUUAAUGAACAAUUUAUGGAUUGAGUUCUGUUUGUCUGUCUGUUCAGUUUAAAUCAAUAACUGUUUGUCUUUCAGUGUUGGUGAUUAUCUGUCGAUGGCAAAAGAAGCUCACUGCUGAGAUGAACAAGAUCUGACCGUUAGGUCAAACCUGGAAAACUUUGGGCAACUCCUUUAUCAAGAUGGACAUAAUGCCUCAGGUUCAUUUUCUGCACUGAGACCCAAUUGUUCACCUGUGGGUCACUGGAGUAAAGUUCUCUUUGGUCUCAAUAUUAUGUAAAAAAUCUUAAGCAUACAGUGAGUGUAAGAGGACUUCUGCAGUGUUUAGUUCUGAGAUUGUACAGUAUCCUGCAAGUAUCUCUGAACGUUGUCUCAGUUAUUGUAUCUUAUUACGAUUACUGUUUUUAUGGUAAUUAUAUUGUUAUUGGUCCCUCCUCUGUUACUGUUAAUAGAUCCUGUGUGUUUGUUCAUUUCAUUGUUGUACUAAUGAAAAAUAAAGAUACAAAGAAGCUUUAGAGGCAUUGGUAGGUGGAUUUUGUUACCAGCAGAACCAGGCUAGUUGUAUCUGUUUCCAUUCUUUAUGCUAAGCUAAGCUAACAGGCUGCUGGCUGCUGCUUCAUGUUCACCUACAGACUUGAGAAUGUAGCAUUAGCCAGUGUAGUUUUCCUAUUAUGGGUGUGAGGACAAUUAAUAUAUAGUAUAUAGAUUAGUAGUCAAUAUAUCAGAGUGAAAUUUAAGUUUUGUAAUAAAGUCGUUUUUCUACUGAGUCAAAGUGUCAAACAGUUUGAAUCCUUUCUAAUGACACAGCUAGUGUCUUUGUCCAACAGCUUCAUCCAGCAGCAGGCCAGUCUGGCCAAAGACACGGUGCUGAACUGCAGCCCGGUUAUAUAAUGAAAACCCUGCUGAAUUUAGGCCUGAGCCAGCUACCAUAGAGCUGCAGUGAGACUGAGUGCUGUUCAGCAUCUCAGCCAUUUGGCAGAUAUUCUGGGAGCCACGGGGACCCUCACAGGAGAGAAGACCUUCACCAUAGCUUACAUAGCCUACUCUUCCUUACUGUAAUCAGCACAGUGUGUACGGCUGAUGUGCUGCAAAAUCUCACCACCACAGCACACACCCAAAACUGCUGAAGUUUUCAUGGUCUAAAACACAUAAAAAAUGAUUUAUUUCCAAUAUACUUCAUGCAAACUGGAUUAUUUAUGGUUUGAAUAUUGCAGCCUGGUAUAUGUGAAAGAUUAGCAGCAACGUUUAUUUAUAUGCAUUAUUAUUUUUUGAUCAAUGUCAAAUAAUCACGUUAAGGUAAAAAAAAAAUCAAGCU
rnacentral:lncRNA from 1 species